rnacentral:rRNA from 1 species
AUUGAACGCUGGCGGAAUGCUUUACACAUGCAAGUCGAACGGCAGCACGGACUUCGGUCUGGUGGCGAGUGGCGAACGGGUGAGUAAUAUAUCGGAACGUGCCCAGUCGUGGGGGAUAAUGUAGCGAAAGCUACGCUAAUACCGCAUACGAUCUACGGAUGAAAGCGGGGGAUCGCAAGACCUCGCGCGAUUGGAGCGGCCGAUAUCAGAUUAGGUAGUUGGUGAGGUAAAGGCUCACCAAGCCGACGAUCUGUAGCUGGUCUGAGAGGACGACCAGCCACACUGGGACUGAGACACGGCCCAGACUCCUACGGGAGGCAGCAGUGGGGAAUUUUGGACAAUGGACGCAAGUCUGAUCCAGCCAUUCCGCGUGCAGGACGAAGGCCUUCGGGUUGUAAACUGCUUUUGUACAGAACGAAAAGGUCUCUAUUAAUACUAGGGGCUCAUGACGGUACUGUAAGGAUAAGCACCGGCUAACUACGUGCCAGCAGCCGCCGUAA